AGUGAACGCUGGCGGUAGGCCUAACACAUGCAAGUCGAACGGCAGCACAGUAAGAGCUUGCUCUUACGGGUGGCGAGUGGCGGACGGGUGAGGAAUACAUCGGAAUCUACUUUUUCGUGGGGGAUAACGUAGGGAAACUUACGCUAAUACCGCAUACGACCUACGGGUGAAAGCAGGGGAUCUUCGGACCUUGCGCGAUUGAAUGAGCCGCUGUCGGAUUAGCUAGUUGGCGGGGUAAAGGCCCACCAAGGCGACGAUCCGUAGCUGGUCUGAGAGGAUGGUCGGCCACACUGGAACUGAGACACGGUCCAGACUCCUACGGGAGGCAGCAGUGGGGAAUAUUGGACAAUGGGCGGAAGCCUGAUCCAGCCAUACCGCGUGGGUGAAGAAGGCCUUCGGGUUGUAAAGCCCUUUUGUUGGGAAAGAAAAGCAGCAGGUUAAUACCCCGCUGUUCUGACGGUACCCAAAGAAUAAGCACCGGCUAACUUCGUG
rnacentral:rRNA from 1 species